AAGACGCCAAAGACAAAGACGCCAAAGACAAGAGCUCAGAAGAGGAGUCAGACGCUGAGGACAAAGACAAAAAAGCCAAAGACAAAGACGCCGAAGACAAGAGCUCAGAAGAGGAGUCAGACGCUGAGGACAAAGACAAAAAGGCCAAAGACAAAGACGCCGAAGACAAGAGCUCAGAAGAGGAGUCAGACGCUGAGGACAAAGACAAAAAGGCCAAAGACAAAGAUGCCAAAGACAAGAGCUCCGGCAGCCAGGAGGCAGGGGCCUCCACCAAAGAAGAUGGAGAUUCCAUCAGUGACGAAGACGACAUUAACAGCAGCCAGGAGAUGCACGACAGCGCCAGCCAAGACUCAGAGUACGCCACCAAGGAGGAGAGUGAGGAGGAGAAGAGCGCUGAGUCAUCGGACGACAAAGUGAGCAAGAACGCCAGCAAGAAAGACAAAGACAGCAUGGAGGACAAAUCAGAAGAGGAUACAUCAGAGUCCAUCUCAAAAGAGGAAAGCAUGGAGAAGAGCACUGAGGCAGAUUCCACAAGUAAGGACUGACUGGAAGUUUUAAGGAAGUCCUUAAAAAAACACAUAAACACCUCCUGUAAUUCACCAUGGCAACAUUGUGCAACAUGGUGUCAACACCAAACUAGGUCCCAAAGAAAGCUUACUGUUGAUCAUAUAGUGAUAUGUACUAAUUGAGUGCUUUAGAGUCUGCCACCUGAAAGCUAUGAUCUUUUGGUCUAUGAAACAGUUCUCACAGUUCUGUA
ensembl:lncRNA